rnacentral:misc_RNA from 1 species
UCAAAAUAUUCGACCCAAAUCACCACCGACCCCCCCAUAAAAACCCCUUUGAGAUCUAUCUCAGAAGCUCAUCAUUCAACAAUGGUGAAGAAAGAGAUGGAUGUCAUGAAGGACGUCGACCUUAAGAAGUAUAUGGGUCGGUGGUAUGAAAUAGCCUCAUUUCCAUCGAGGUUUCAGCCCAAAAAUGGAGCUAAUACCAGAGCGACCUACACCCUGAGAGAUGAACGGACGGUGAAUGUCCUAAAUGAGACCUGGGUUGAUGGCAAGAGAGG